AGAGUCUGUGAGCGUUAAUAUUCAGCUUUAACUGUUUUUAAAUCCUUCAGACUGUCACUCAGAGACCAGGAGAAGACUGAGGUUCCUCAAACUGCAGACGCUGACACGGUCAAAAUACCUUUGUUCACACCAGAGAAGAGUUCGGUCAGUAAUCGGACACCUCAUUCGAAAUCGCAGCAGAGAAAAGGGACAGAUCCUGAGUCGUCUUCAACAGCCAGAAGAAUUCAAUCUGACCAGGUCAAAGUAGAUUUGUUCCCACCAGAGAAGAGUUCAGUCAAAGAACAGUCACCUCCUUCGAAAUCGCAG